AACGAACGCUGGCGGCGUGGAUAAGACAUGCAAGUCGAACGGGAUUUUAUUUGUAGCAAUACACGUAAAGUCUAGUGGCGUAAGGGUGCGUAACACGUGGGCAAUCUGCCGAGAAGUGGGGGAUAGCUCGCCGAAAGGCGAAUUAAUACCGCAUGUGGUUAGUGAAGACAUCUUCGCGAUACCAAAGCCGGGGCAACCUGGCGCUGCUUGAUGAGCCCGCGGCCUAUCAGCUAGUUGGUGAGGUAACGGCUCACCAAGGCUAUGACGGGUAGCUGGUCUAAGAGGACGACCAGCCACACUGGAACUGAGACACGGUCCAGACACCUACGGGUGGCAGCAGUCGAGAAUUUUUCUCAAUGGGGGAAACCCUGAAGGAGCGACGCCGCGUGGAGGAUGAAGGUCUUCGGAUUGUAAACUCCUGUCAUUUGGGAACAAUUGUUGGCGAUUAACUGUCGUCAGCUUGAUAGUACCAGAAGAGGAAGAGACGGCUAACUCUGUGCCAGCAGCCGCAGUAAUAC
rnacentral:rRNA from 1 species